AAAUGCGAUAAGUAAUGUGAAUUGCAGAAUUCAGUGAAUCAUCGAAUCUUUGAACGCACCUUGCGCUCCUUGGUAUUCCUUGGAGCAGGCCUGUUUGAGUAUCAUGAAAUCUUCAAAGUAAAUCUUUUGUUAACUCAAUUGGUUUCUACUUUGGUAUUGGAGGUCUUUGCAGCUUCACACCUGCUCCUCUUUGUUCAUUAGCUGGAUCUCAGUGUUAUGCUUGGUUCCACUCGGCGUGAUAAGUUAUCUAUCGCUGAGGACACUGUAAAAGGUGGCCAAGGUAAAUGCAGAUGAACCGCUUCUAAUAGUCCAUUGACUUGGACAAUACUUUUAUGAUCUGAUCUCAAAUCAGGUAGGACUACCCGCUGAACUUAAGC
rnacentral:misc_RNA from 1 species